UGAUGAUAAACUGCAUGUUGUUGAGGCUGAGAUACAAUCGACUUGAAAGGACCAAAUGAUUGCAUGGAGUCGAAGAAACAAGUGUUGGAAUAAUUGGAAAGAGGAGAAAAGAAACACAUGGGACUCGAGGAGAAUCCAAUGACUGCUGCUCUUGGGACUGCCUCUUCCGUGGCCAGCCUGUAUGAUCAGUAAUCGGACUUGGCCCUCCGAGGCUUAUAUUCUAAACCGUACGCAGGAGAUGUCCAAAGUCAUAGGUUGGCCUACGCUGCUCCAGCUCUGCAGCUGCUCCAGUACAGCAAAGCCAGCGAGGCUCAUCAGCUUUCUAGUUCACAGCUGAGCUCAAAAAUAUUGCAGAACAGUACGGGAUCUAAUCCAUUCAAAGUCCAAGUUGAAUGGUGCAGCACACAGCUAACAAGAUCCAAGAAACCUCAUUGGAGUAGGCAGAAGAAACAAAUUGGAUGAGUUGGAGAAAUCUCUGCUCUGCGAAAAAGAUAAUCCACGAGGGUCAGGCUACAACACAUGCUGUCCUGUGAUCCUCGACCAACGCCGAGACCCAGCCAAAUUGCAUGUAAGAUCUGCAUAAUUUAGUAAGUUCCCUGCGAUGCUGUGACAAUUUAGUAAGUUCUCAAUCAGUGAAGACUAUGAUAAGAAAGAUCUCAUGGAAGUUGGAGAGGGAAAGCAGGGGGAGCUGCUUUUUGCAAACCAUAACCCAUCAAUUAUGAUCCUGCAUCUUCCACAAAUGUUUGAGUUAGCUUCUCUCGUAAAAGACUAAACUUGCAAGAGAAUUAAUUGCAUUGCACCCCACCUUUCAAGACAAAUGUCAUAAUAACAAUAAAAUUGGAAGUCUCAAUUAUUUAGAAUUAUGAAUCUUUUAUCGUUAUUGAGAUUAAUAAAAAGUUAUAUGUUUAGUUGAGUUUAAAAAUACUUAAAUAUUUAUUUAUAGUUUUUAUUAAAAAAAUUAGAUCUUUUUUAAUCUUUUCUUGUAUUAUUAACGUUAAUCAUUUUAUCUCUUUUAACUACCGGUCUCUUAAGCACAUGGCCACACCAUCUUAAACGAUUUUCUCUCAUCUUAUCUUCUAUCGAUAAUACCUAAUUGUUCACAAAUAAAAAUAUUUCUUUUCCUAUUUUUUUUAGCAAUUCUAUAUAUCCAUCUCAACAUUCUUGUCUCAACAAUAUAAACUUUAUAUAUAUNNNNNNNNNNNNNNNNNNNNNNNNNNNNNNNNNNNNNNNNNUAUUCCGCACUCAGAUCCAUAAAGCAUUAUUGGUUUUACAAUUGCCUUAUAAAAUUUUUCUUUAAAUUUUAAAGAUAUCCAAUGAUCACACAAGACUCAUAAUCUUCCUCAUCAUUUCAACUAUCUUAAUUUUACUUUAUGAAUAAUAUUCUCUCUAUCUUGUUGAAUAAUUAAUCCAAAAUACCGAAUGCUUUUACUUAAAAGAAUAUUUUCAUCUUAACUUAACUUUCUAUCUAUUCCUAGAAUUACUAAAAUUACAUCUUAUAUAUUCAGAUUUAGUUCUAUUUUACUAAAACAUUUAGUUUCUCAGUAUAGUCUCCAUAAUCCAAUGCAUAUCAACAAAAUUAAAAGACAACAAUUAGUUUACAGAAAUAAUAUUAACAGUCUAUGAUUAGAUAUCUAGUCACAUUUAUGACCAACAGUGCAUAAACAAUAUCCAUAUCAGAAGUCCCUGAUAAACUAAAUCCAUUAAUUGCAAUAAAUAUAUUUAGACAUUUAUAACAAAAUUAUUUAAACAUCUUUGUGGUUUACAAUCUAGAAUGAAGAAUCCUCUUUUACCAAGCCAAAUAUAUCAUAUUUCAAUCCUUCCUCUCAAGUAAAUCCUUUAUUAGAGUAAAAAUAUCAAAACAAGAUAUUGAACUAUAAAUAUCUAUGGUGCUUACACCUGUAGUUUGUUAAAAUUUCCUAGCCAGAUCAAAAUUAUAGACCCAAAAUUAGAAGCAAAAGAAUAAUGCUUAACAAAUAUUAACCUGACAGGAAAAGUCCUUUCUGGAUAGCAGUGGUUCAAGGCAGCACCAAGAAGUCCAAAUACUUGUUGAAGUGAAGGAGUUACCAGUUAGUAGUUAGUACAAUAAUGAUGACUCAAACUAUAGCGGGAAUUCCAUCAGGAUAUCAGUGAUUUUAUAGAUAAUCUAUCCAUCUCCAAAUAAUUCAAUCUUCUACUAUCACAAAGAUAUUAUGAAGAUGAUCAGGAAAGAUGAUGUCUUAAGUUUACUAAUACACAACAAGGUAAGAAUGACCAAUAUAACCACUUCAUGCUGAAUCCUGUAACUAAUAAUUAGCUCCAAAUAAUCAACAGCAGAAAAGCAAAAACUAACCUAGCUCAUCAUCUUUUAAAAUUCAAACUAACGUGGAAGACAAUAUGAUAUCUUUAAGCCAUAUAGUUUCACAUUCCAUUUUAGAGUAGCAACUAGGAAGUUCACUAACUUUUGUUUACCAAGGUAAAUUCAUACAUGUGGUGGAGAAGUGAUUUCAUAUUUCCAGUUUAAAAGCUAUGCUCUGAACCUCAGGGACCAUAGCUUGCUGAUGACCGGAGCAUAAGUAUAGCCAGUUCAUGUCUAAGGCAAAUUAUAAAACCAUUACUUGUGCCUGAAGUAGAUGGAAUUUAGACCUCAACAUAUGUUUGUUAUUAAACACUUUUAUUUACCCAAUUGCAACUGCAUAAUCUGUUCACUUUUAUUUAAUGAUAUUAAACACCUUCAAAGAAUCAAAUAUUUGAAGCAGCAAAGCAACAUCUGGCAUUUGAAAAGAAUGACAAUGACCUUUCCAGAACCUAUUGUGAAUGUUGUAAUUCUUUCAUUAUCAGCUCUGCAUCAUUUUGAGAAACCACAAGUUACAAACUUAUGAGGCAUUUAUCAAUCACAAGAACUAAUAUCGGAGUUUUAAACAGAAAUCAAGAAGCAGAGAUGCAUAAAACACAGUUUAGAAAAGCCAAAAAUCUGACAGGCAGGAGCGGGGAAUUUUCCGCAAUGGGUGAAAGCCUGAAGAAGCAAUGUCGCAUGGAGGUGGAAGGCCCACGGGUCAUGAACUUCUUUUCUAGCAGAUUAUUCACAUGUCAGACAUGCUGUUCAUAUGAGAAUUGUUGUUCUGCUUGACACAUUUCACAACACUAUAUACAUAUUGAAAAUUUUCAUUUCAAAUUAUUAUUAUGCUUACCUUACAGAAACUGCAGAGUUUCUUACAAACCAAACUGCAUAUGCAUGUUCACUAUUUGCAGUUUAAGCACAAAUAACACAAAACCCAGUCAUAAUGGGCAGACGAGAUCAAUUCCCCUGUCUCACAACUACUAUAAAUAAGUGAACUUGUAAGACAAAAGGCAUGACCGGGUUCUUCUAAAUAUUAAAUCUUUCUCAUUUCUCUCUCCCUCCCCCUCUUCUAUGUGUGUAAUAUAUAUAUAUAUAUAUAUAUAUAUAUGGAAGACAGUAGUCUCAUAAAAGGAGAUCCUUCCAACCAAUAUAGUAACAGAGCUAACAUAUCCUUCAUGAUCUUCUUCAGUGCUCUACCCCAGAUUGGGGUCCUCCUUUGCAACCUCAUGAACUCCUGCUAAACACCACCGUAAUCUUUCCCGGACUCCUACUACAAAGUCCCAAAUGGUGACUACUAUGACGCAAUUUUUUAUUCAUCCAAUGGUCAAUCAACAACUCUAACAUAGUUUUCCACAUGACUACCCUGGCAUCAAUGCCAAGCUUAUCAUAGAUAUGAGGAGGGUCCACAUAGAUCUAUUGAUUGGAAAAUUCAUCUAGGUUGACCAACCAACUUCAUAGAUCAAUCAGGUGUCAAUACUACUGCAAGAAUUACACUGAUGAGCUUAACAAAUUAUCAAUGAUCUGAACAACACCAGAGGAUACUCUAUACCAACUGCAUUCUCAACCAUAUAGUAGGAUGUUCAAUAAAAAUUACCAGUUGUCACAAGCCUAAGAGAUGUUUGGCUAGAAUUAUGGAGUUGUAAAGUCCAAUUUGGAUAAAGCCUACAAAGUACUAAGAUCCACCACUACAAAUCCUCCACGACAAUGAUAGUAGCUCCAAAAUAACAUAUUUGGAAGUCGAGCAAACACCACUACAACUAUUAUUGCCAAUCAACAAAAUUAUGCAAACCAUCUCAUCAACUAAUAGUGCAAAAUUUGUAAAAUGAAGAUGCCUAAGUAGCCUAAAAAUAUGUUAAUUUGCACUUCCACCAACAGUAAAGAGAAGGACAAAGAUCUCAAAGGGAUGUUGAAGAUUGAUGGAAAAGAUGUGUACAUGUUUUAUUCAAAUCAAAGUGCCCUUGGACAAAAUAUAUAUUAGACGUGACUCCAUUGCAACCCUACAAUAUUUAUAAGAUAGAAUUGAUGAGAACAACGUUGCCAAAGUCACACCAGUAGCAUCUGAAGAUGUUCCUUGUGAAGAAGAAUAUCACAAAACAACUUUAGAAGUCCCUAAAUCAAUUUUUAUGUCCACUAGAAGAUAUUGAAAAAUUCAGCCUACAGCAGCCUUACAGUUCAACAGCAUUGCAGCUGUUGCUAGGAUCUAUUAAGUAGGGUUUUGGGCAUCAUAUACUGUUAGAAAUCAGCUUAGAGCUCUGCAGCCCUAAUACGACUACCUCAAACCAUCACAGUCAGAUGACUUUUUACGAUCCUAGAUGAUCCAAUUUAGCCAACAAGUGUUUCGGACAACAUUAACUGACUCGCAAGAACAAUUUAAUCUUCAUCUUAAAUCCUAAACUCGAUGGUGGGCUCCUAAAAGAUCCGAGCUCGAUCUAGCUGGUCUAUGUCAACUGCCAAAGGCCAGAAAAUUCUCCCAGCACAGUGCAUAACCCCAUUAAGCUAACCCUUAGAUUAAGCUAUUAAUCACAGUCCAACAGUUCGAUUAUGUAGUGCAAGUACAUUCAACUCCCAAAAUUUUGAACUCAGAACUGAGAACCAGACCUAGAACAACGCGUAAUUACAUCUAAAUGAAUUAAAAGCUUAGAGAGAGAGAGAGAGAGAGAGAGAGAGAGAGAGAGAGUCAUGGUGAAUAGUAGCAGUUGAUCGGAAAGGCAAGUCUUUCUGCCCUGCCGGCGUAGAACCAAUUGGCACCGAAUCGUAUGAAGCCACCAGCCAAAACAAUAAAUAUCACCUCAACAUUCUAAGCAAAUCGAAAUAAAGGAGGAGGAUGAGAUAAGAGGACAACGAAACGUCGAAAGAAGCAGACCAGAUGCCGACGACGCCGUAGGGUAGUGACGACGAAAGACGAUGCCAAGGCUGAAGCGAAUGAGCUUCGGCCCAUCUCAAGCGGUGGAGCGACGGCGAGGAAGCAGAAGGGGGGAAGAGGAACGCAAACAGAAGAGCACGG
rnacentral:lncRNA from 1 species